rnacentral:rRNA from 1 species
UACAGAGGUCUCAAGCGUUGUUCGGAUUCAUUGGGCGUAAAGGGUGCGUAGGCGGCGCGGUAAGUCGGGUGUGAAAUCUCGGAGCUUAACUCCGAAACUGCAUUCGAUACUGCCGUGCUUGAGGACUGGAGAGGAGACUGGAAAUUUUACGGUGUAGCGGUGAAAAUGCGUAGAUAUCGUAAGGAAGACCAGUGGCGAAAGGCGGGGUCUCUGGGGCCACUAC